ensembl:lncRNA
GAGAGAGGGCAUUGGAGUAACUGGCACAGCAAGGUUGCCGAGGCAGGACGUGACAGGAAUUGUCUUUUGCACAGUUAUGGAGAUGUUUCCUCCUCACCACAUCAGUAAUGGUAUCCACAGUUGUCUACCCACGGAAGAUCUGCUCUGGAAUGUAAGAGGUAGGGACUCUGCCAUACUAGCCUCCAGUGGAUGCUGGUUCCAAAAUUGAGGAAUCAGGACAGAGAAGAGUCUUGACUGCGUGGAUCGGGAGGUGGCUUCCCAAAGGCAUGGGACGACCAGGAGGCAAGACAAGGAUGAACAAAGAGCUGUGGGAUCCGCAACGGAAGAAAACGGUGGUGCCUCAAAGCCAUUGUGGUAUAUGAUUGAUGAGACAAGAAACUUGGCCCAAAUGACCUGAAACCUCCCAACCCAACUCAACAUUCCAGCAGGAAUUCCCAGCCUCUGCCACAGAGGCAUUCCCCUUUUUAUAAGAACUUGUGGUCGGACCUUCUCUAGUCAAUUUGACAGCCUG